UUUGAGCUUGAACGAUCGUUGUUGAAGCAAUCUAACGAAACUUAAGUUUCUUUCGCAGCUUUAGGGAAAGUCCCCGGACUCUUUCGUCCUGGUUUCGAAAUGAUCCAGGAUAAGCGGAAACGCGCUGACCUAAAGAACCAGCGGUUACAAUAGUGGGCUUACCUCGUGGCAGGCGUUGUCUUUAUUUUCUCGUAGCCUUUUUAUAUGCGUUUUGUUUCCGGAACGGAGUAGACAAGGAUACAAGUCUAUGGAGCGUGUAUAAGGAAGUGUUUGGGAAAUAUAAAGGUAUAUGCUUUGCGAGGUUUGCCUUUCCAUUGAACUGUGUUUAUUCGUCGUAGGCGAUAGUUAUACGAUCACAUCUACUAAUCGAUGUAACUCAAUGGGGCUUAGUCAUGGGCUCAG